UGGGGAAUAUUGGACAAUGGGCGAAAGCCUGAUCCAGCCAUGCCGCGUGUGUGAAGAAGGUCUUCGGAUUGUAAAGCACUUUAAGUUGGGAGGAAGGGCAGUAAAUUAAUACUUUGCUGUUUUGACGUUACCGACAGAAUAAGCACCGGCUAACUCUGUGCCAGCAGCCGCGGUAAUACAGAGGGUGCAAGCGUUAAUCGGAAUUACUGGGCGUAAAGCGCGCGUAGGUGGUUCGUUAAGUUGGAUGUGAAAUCCCCGGGCUCAACCUGGGAACUGCAUUCAAAACUGACGAGCUAGAGUAUGGUAGAGGGUGGUGGAAUUUCCUGUGUAGCGGUGAAAUGCGUAGAUAUAGGAAGGAACACCAGUGGCGAAGGCGACCACCUGGACUGAUACUGACACUGAGGUGCGAAAGCGUGGGGAGCAAA
rnacentral:rRNA from 1 species